rnacentral:rRNA from 1 species
CAGUAGGGAAUAUUGCGCAAUGGGCGCAAGCCUGAUGCAGCAACGCCGCGUGCGCGAUGAAGGCCUUCGGGUCGUAAAGCGCUUUUCUGGAGGAGGAGGAAGGACCGUACUCCAGGAAUAAGUCUCGGCUAACUACGUGCCAGCAGCCGCGGUAAAACGUAGGAGACAAGCGUUAUCCGAAUUUACUGGGCGUAAAGCGCGUGCAGGUGGUUCGGCAAGUGGAAUGUGAAAUCUCCCGGCUCAACUGGGAGGGGCCGUUCCAAACUGCCGGACUAGAGGACGGUAGAGGGAGGUGGAAUUCCCGGUGUAGUGGUGAAAUGCGUAGAUAUCGGGAGGAGCACCUGUGGCGAAAGCGGCCUCCUGGACCGUACCUGACGCUCAGACGCGAAAGCUAGGGGAGUGAACGGGAUUAGAAACCCCGGUAAUCCUAGCCGUAAACGAUGUGGACUGGGUGUCGGUGGGGUAAAAGCCAUCGGUGCCGAAGCCAACGCGAUAAGUCCACCGCCUGGGGACUACGGCCGCAAGGUUA